AAAUAUGUCCUAUUAUGGUUCGAACACACGUCGCUUGGUACAAAACAAAAGGCCUAACCAUUGCAUUGUUAUUAUAUAAUUUAUACAUUUUUCAAUGAAAUAUUUAUAUAAAUAAAAUUUACUUUUAUAAUUAAUAAAAUCCCACCUUAAAAUUUGAGGCCCGUGUUAUUUGGAGGCCCCGUGCAACAUGCCAGGUUACACAGACCUAAAACUGGAUCUGACUCCUACAUGCUAUCAGUGUGGGAAAAAAGGGAAUAUCAG
rnacentral:lncRNA from 1 species